GGAUAGAACUGAUAUCUGAAAGAUUCCACAUGGACUGAGCCACAGUAAAGACACCUGCAAGCACCAAGCAUCUAAGAGUCCACCUGCAGAGUUGAAACUAGGACACCUGUGUGGUUGUUAAAGCCUCAAACUCAGUGUCUAUAUGAGGAGAACGACCUUAAACGUAUGUUUCAGAGGACUGGGACUACAUGAGUGCACCAACAUGGCUGGUUUCUGUGAUGCUGCAAUCGAACCCAGGACUUCAUCCAUUCAAGGCAGUGACUCUAUCAACUGUUCUUCAUUCCCAGCACUAUUCCAUGGCAUGGUGCAUAACAUUGAUCCAGCUUCUGGAUCAAUUUCGCCAAUGUG